CGAUCCAGCCAUGCCGCGUGAGUGAAGAAGGCCUUCGGGUUGUAAAGCUCUUUCGGCGGGGACGGAAAUGGUUCGUGCUAAUACCACGAACUGAUGACGGUACCCGCAGAAGAAGCACCGGCUAACUACGUGCCAGCAGCCGCGGUAAUACGUAGGGUGCAGGCGUUAAUCGGAAUUACUGGGCGUAAAGCGUGCGCAGGCGGUUUGUUAAGACAGAUGUGAAAUCCCCGGGCUUAACCUGGGAACUGCGUUUGUAACUGGCAGACUGGAGUGUGGCAGAGGGGGGUGGAAUUCCAAGUGUAGCAGUGAAAUGCGUAGAUAUUUGGAGGAACACCGAUGGCGAAGGCAGCCCCCUGGGCUAACACUGACGCUCAUGCACGAAAGCGUGGGGAGCAAACAGGAUUAGAUACCCUGGUAGUCCACGCCCUAAACUAUGUCAACUGGUUGUCGGGGAAGCAAUUCCUUGGUAACGAAGCUAACGCGUGAAGUUGACCGCCUGGGGAGUACGGCCGCAAGGUUA
rnacentral:rRNA from 1 species